AGGGAAAGCUGGCGGCAGGCCUAACACAUGCAAGUCGAGCGGAUGAAGGGAGCUUGCUCCUGGAUUCAGCGGCGGACGGGUGAGUAAUGCCUAGGAAUCUGCCUGGUAGUGGGGGAUAACGUCCGGAAACGGGCGCUAAUACCGCAUACGUCCUGAGGGAGAAAGUGGGGGAUCUUCGGACCUCACGCUAUCAGAUGAGCCUAGGUCGGAUUAGCUAGUUGGUGGGGUAAAGGCCUACCAAGGCGACGAUCCGUAACUGGUCUGAGAGGAUGAUCAGUCACACUGGAACUGAGACACGGUCCAGACUCCUACGGGAGGCAGCAGUGGGGAAUAUUGGACAAUGGGCGAAAGCCUGAUCCAGCCAUGCCGCGUGUGUGAAGAAGGUCUUCGGAUUGUAAAGCACUUUAAGUUGGGAGGAAGGGCAGUAAGUUAAUACCUUGCUGUUUUGACGUUACCAACAGAAUAAGCACCGGCUAACUUCGUG
rnacentral:rRNA from 1 species